UUAGUGAGGUCUUCGGAUUGGCUUUGGGGAGCCGGCGACGGCACCCUAUCGCUGAGAAGUCGAUCAAACUUGGUCAUUUAGAGGAAGUAAAAGUCGUAACAAGGUUUCCGUAGGUGAACCUGCGGAAGGAUCAUUAUNGAAAUUAUAGGUGAGGGUUGUAGCUGGCCUCUCGGGGCAUGUGCACGCCCGAGCCCUUAAUCCACACACACCUGUGAACCUAUUGUAAGGGCCCUUAAAAAAGGCCUUUACGUCUUAUCAUCAACCCAUCGUAUGUCUCAUAGAAUGUAAAUAUAUGUCCUCGCCUUAAAAAGCGUUGAUAAACUUAUACAACUUUCAACAACGGAUCUCUUGGCUCUCGCAUCGAUGAAGAACGCAGCGAAAUGCGAUAAGUAAUGUGAAUUGCAGAUUUUCAGUGAAUCAUCGAAUCUUUGAACGCACCUUGCGCUCCUUGGUAUUCCGAGGAGCAUGCCUGUUUGAGUGUCAUUAAAUUCUCAACUCUGAUCGAUUUGUUUCGACUUCGGAGCUUGGAUUUGGAGCGUGCUGGCGUCGGUCGGCUCCUCUUAAAUGCAUCAGCGGAAUCUAACGUUUCGGACGUCAGUGUGAUAAUCAUGUUGCGCUGUCUGUCUGAUCCGAAAGCCCGCUCACAAUGGUCUUCGGACAACUUCAUAUCAAAUUUGACCUCAAAUCAGGUAGGACUACCCGCUGAACUUAAGCAUAUCAAUAAGCGGAGGAAAAGAAACUAACAAGGAUUCCCCUAGUAACUGCGAGUGAAGCGGGAAAAGCUCAAAUUUAAAAUCUGGCGGUCUUGCGGCCGUCCGAGUUGUAAUCUGGAGAAGCGUUUAUCCGCGUCGGACCGUGUACAAGUCUUCUGGAAGGGAGCGUCGUAGAGGGUGAGAAUCCCGUCUUUGACACGGACAACCGGUGC
rnacentral:rRNA from 1 species